GCAGCCUAGGAGCUAUAGUUGCUCGUCUCGGUUAGUUGCAGGUCUGGGUGCAUGUGCAGCGAAUCAGGGCGGCGAAUGAAGAACAGUGGUCUCUGGAGGAAGACUGUCUUGAUCACAGUGGUCACCAGAGGAAAAUGACGUUCGGUGACUGAGAAAAGGGGCAUACAGUAGCUGCUGGUACUGUCACAAAAAAUAAAGAUAAAGAAAAUCCAAGAUCGAAACCCUAAACUAUUGAUAUCAUAGAAUUGUAGAUGUUCUAAAAAUGUAUUGUGUGUCUAAUGCAGACCACACAGUAUGUAUUUAUACUAUUUUAGAGAGUCAAUUAUAAUAAAAACACCUAAUAAUUAGCAAUCAAUCAUCCUAAUUUUCCUAGAUUAUGUAAUGGUUAAUUUCCUACAAAAUCUGGAAUAGCUGAUUACAUUCUAACAAGCUGAAUGUCCAAUAUUAUAAUGAAGAUCUUAGAUAAUACUUGUCUGAGAACAUAUAUAUCAAUGUAGUGCAUGCAAUCAUGUAUUUAUUUAAAUAUUUGAAAUCCAUGGAUAAAGGAGAGUAAUCAUUAUCUCAACAUUCACACUUUACAAAUUGAACAUGAUUUUAGAUGACCACAGUUCCAUUCUAGGUUACCUUGUAUACUGAUUUCUCUUUGAUGAUAUUUUUGCAGGAUACGAGAUGAUGUUGAGAAAGAGGAUGCUUUUAGAGGCCUAUGUGCUAUGGUCAAAGCUAAUCCUUCUGGAGCUCUAAGCUCGCUUGUUUACAUGUGCAAAGCGAUUGCAAGUUGGCAUGAAAUAAGGAGUGAAGAUUUACACAAUGAAGUCUGCCAGGUCUUGCAUGGGUAUAAACAGAUGCUUCGCAAUGGAGCAUGGGAUCAGUGUAUGUCUGCUUUGGAGCCUCCAGUAAAAGAAAAACUUUCAAAAUAUCAAGUAUAAUUUGUGUGAGCUUUUGUAUCUUCUGCGUUGACCUUGUUGGGCGUUGUGUUGAAAAGCAAUAUUGGAGUCCGGAUUCAUAUGAAGCAGGAGCUUAGUCUCGGUCCAAGUUUCCAGACAGAGUACCAGUACUUGUACAAUUCGUUUGAGCUUGAUGAUUACAAGCAGUUCCACAAGCCUCGAGAUCUCAUUUGAUGGAGUUUCCCAUGAGAAAUGUACAGGGGAAUGACUUUCAACCUUUAGAAAUGCUUGAUUCUUUGUUGUCUUUAUAGUUAAAGCCUUAAUUAAAGGCUAGGAGUUUUAUUCAACCCUUGUGCUCGUCGCCACAGUUUUCCAAUUUCUAUAGUUCAAGUUGAUAGGUUGUGUCUUGGUUACACAGUUUUGUACCACCAGAGAGGGAGGGGAGGGGUAUAUGAUCUGGCUCGUAGUUUCCAGAGUAUUUAGUUUGUUAAAUUGUUUGUAAGAUGUAACUUGAAAACCGAUUUCGACGGUUUUGCCUUAGGCAGCACAUCAUUUAAAUUUUGAUUGGGACAAUAAUUAUUUAAACUUGUGCAUG